GCAACACUCCUUCAGCUUACUGUUCGAGUAUUGGCUUUGAGAGCCACGGGUCGGUGGUUCGAUCCCACCAGGAUACA
rnacentral:tRNA from 1 species